AUGUUAAUAGCGUAAAUACUGCGAAAGACACACCUCUUCAUUUAGCUGCUCAGCAUGGUCAAAGGAGUGUCGCUGAACUUCUCAUCCGUAAAGGAGCAAAUGUUAAUGUUAAAAAUAAUUUGAAUCAGACUCCUCUCCAAGUAGCUAUUAACAAUGGUCAUAAUGAGGUCGCCAAACUUUUUAUCGGUAAAGGAAACAAAAUUAAUAUUGCAGAGCAAUUGGAAUAGAUUCAAUUGGUUACUAACAAUGGUGACGAAUAGCUGAACCAAUUUAACUGAAUAAUCGGACGAUUUCCUUCGAUUCCCCUCUUCGAUUGUAGUGUAGAAUUAAUUCCAAAACAUUUUUUUGUCAAUCUAUGACCAUACCAACCAAUAUUGUUGCUUUGUUAGACCAUCGACUAAUAUUCUGUCAAAAAACAGCUCAAGUAAUUAGUCUUUUUAAUUGCUUACGAUAUAGUUAUUGGUAUGGAUUAGAAUUUUUUUUAAAUUUUUGUGACCUUAACGUGCAUUCGUGCUAAAUUUGAACGUGAUUUGUAUGAGU